rnacentral:rRNA from 1 species
UACGUAGGGUGCGAGCGUUAAUCGGAAUUACUGGGCGUAAAGCGUGCGCAGGCGGCUUUGCAAGACAGAUGUGAAAUCCCCGGGCUUAACCUGGGAACUGCGUUUCUAACUGGCAGGCUUGAGUGUGGCAGAGGGGGGUGGAAUUCCACGUGUAGCAGUGAAAUGCGUAGAGAUGUGGAGGAACACCGAUGGCGAAGGCAGCCCCCUGGGCUAACACUGACGCUCAUGCACGAAAGCGUGGGGAGCAAACAGG